CAAUCAUAUUAUCGCAGAAGGAAGGUUAGGGAGAGAAAAGUGAGAGGAGAUAGAGAAGCCGCCGCGUCGGAAUCCACCUUUAGACGUUACCUAUACACCCGAAAAGGACUGAUAGGCCGAUGCUACACCAAGAUCCGAGAGUUCGCAAGGUGGUUGUUCUUGUAGAUCCGUGAAGAAACUCGACCGAAAAACGGGACUGGAGUCGAAAAUCUGAGAACGGCAAAUGGGUAGUUUGGUCAGUCACUCCUUUGGCUUCUUCUCCUUCAACCUUCCAGCAAUCUUGAUCAGAGCAUCGAUCCUUCCGGGAACACCUGCACGUGACGAAAACUUCCACCGGCGUCUUCUUCAAUAGCUGCAUUGAUGACUUGCUACCACUGCAAUGGCUGGUGACCCGUUCUGCAGGCGCCACUCGCCGGAGCGGACUCAAGUCUGAACAUCCUCACGAUUCCAGCGUUUUUCAACGGUUAUUUCUCUCUUUCCUUGAUUUUCGGUUAUGACCUAUGCUCAAUGGACCUUUGAUUUACAUUUCCCCCUCCCUAACGACUCCAAAUCUACGGGUCUUUUUCGGUAAGAUUCAGUGAGUAAGAACGCUCUAAACUCCUUUCGAACUCUUCCAAGUGUUGUGGCUUAGAUUCUAACCUUUAUAACUUUUAUAUUUGUAGUAUUGGAUGGAUAACGGACUCAUUUGAACACUUUUCAGCAAGGAUUGUUGUCCGUUUUGGUAAGUUUUAACGAGGAAAGUUUGGUUUAUGCUAUUUUGAACUCUUCUUAAGUGUUAUAAAGUAGUUUACGACUCUUGUGAAUUCUCUGUUGUUGUUUGGAACAGAUUCAAAUUGUUCUGCUAGGGAGUUAAGGCUGCUUUGGGCUGCCAGAGCCUGUCUUAACGAACAAGCUCAAGAACACAUGAUCUGAUGGCAUCCGGUUUGGGGCCGGAUGAGUAUCAGAGACUGCUACAGAACAAAAACCCUGGUUUUGUGAAGUUCACUUGAAUGAUAGAACGAAGGCCAUGAAGGCGAAGCCGCAUGCCAGCCAAGGAAUCCAACUAAAAUUCUGAUGCUUCAGAAGAAGACUAGCUAUGAUGCACGCACCAACAGCAGCUAGCAUAGCACCGAUCUUGCCGAACAAAAGCGAGAUUCUUGGGAAGGAAGUUUGAAGAAAAAGCGCAGCAAGUGAAAGUGUAAAGCUAAUCAACAUAGCCGCUGCAAAGAGAUUUAUCAAAAGUGGAGGAAAUGAGGUGGGUGUGCUGAUGAACAGAGCCAGAGCUGCCUGGAAAGCAAGCCCAAAAAUUAUCUUCCCAAGAUUGUUGCGAGCCUGAGGCUCCCUGGGUAACCCAUCUGAGGCUCCCUGGGUAGAAGAGAAUUGAUUCAUGUCGAUGGCAACAUGCUGUGGUGUUGAUCCCAUUGAGAAUCAGAGAAUCAGAGAAAGGAAACCUUUGAAUAUAAAAAAAAUGGGUUGUGAUAGCCCUUUUAUAGUGGUGUAAAUUUUGAUAAAUUGUAUUAGGGGUUGAUUGGAUGAGCUGGCCACUUACUGCCCAAGCUCCAGUGCCCGACAACAUCGCCCCUUACAAUUUGAAAGAACAAGAAAAACUUUUAGAGUUAUUUUACAUUUUUAAUGAGCCAUUGAAUUA